rnacentral:rRNA from 1 species
UACAGAGGGGGCAAGCGUUAUUCGGAAUUAUUGGGCGUAAAGGGCGCGUAGGCGGCCAUUCAAGUGACGGGUGAAAGCCCUCGGCUUAACCGAGGAACUGCCUGUCAGACUGGAUGGCUUGAGACCGGGAGAGGUGAGUGGAAUUCCCAGUGUAGCGGUGAAAUGCGUAGAUAUUGGGAGGAACACCGGUGGUGUAGACGGCUUUCUGGACCGUAACUGACGCUGAGGCGCGACAGCGUGGGGAGCAAACAGG